AUGUCACAUCCAUAGUUCAAAGUUCAAUGACAACAUAAACUUAAUAGUCCAAGGUUGAGAAGUUGACAUAUGUCACAUCUAAAGUUCAGGCAACAUAAGCCAUGCAAGAACUCCAUCAUUCAAGGGUGACGACCAAUAUAGAUCCAUUGCUUGAUUUACUUCCAUGUGCAAAUUUGACAAAUGCAUCUUGAUGGUCUUCUCCCUACAAUGUAUCCUACAUGUAACAAUGGUUAUUGUAAAUAAGAAAAGCCUACAAGUAACAAAAGUAAACUAAAAAAAUCUUACAAGUAACAUACUUACUAGUAGUUGCAAUCUGCCACACUUUUAGGCAAUUUGACCUUCUCCACAUCCUCCUCAUCAUCAUCUUCUUCCACAUCCUAGUUUUGUGCAAGUUAGCCAUUAGAUUUUUAGUUUAUGGCAAUAACAUGAUGCAUAUUGAAAUCAUACGACAUAAAACAUAGAUCGAAAUCAUACCAACACAUUUAAGUCUUUGUGAGCACCCUUGAUAUAGCUUCCGCCACACA
rnacentral:lncRNA from 1 species